UCGAACAGCCUCGUCCUCCUAAAGGUCCUGCGGUAGAAAGCCGUUCAUUUACGAAUAGCAACACAGCGCCAGCACUGCUAACAUGUCAGACAAGAAACAGACAGUGGACCUGGGCUUACUGGAGGAGGAUGAUGAGUUCGAAGAAUUCCCAGCUGAGGACUGGACGGGGCUGGAUGAAGAUGAAGACGCUCAUGUUUGGGAGGACAACUGGGAUGAUGACAACGUAGAGGACGAUUUUUCCAAUCAACUGAGAGCCGAGCUGGAAAAACAUGGUUACAAGAUGGAGACGUCCUAGCGGCUAACAAGGCCUUUCGGUAUUCGAUGACAUUCGAUAUGGACAUUUAUAUUUGAAUAUUACUGGUUGACCACACGCCACCGCAAACUUACUGAGGAUGUUGUUUGGUUGUUGUUGUUUUUUUGUAAGAAAUAUUGAUUGAAGUAAAAUGUUUGGAGAAAACUGUU